UACGAAGGGGGCGAGCGUUGUUCGGAAUUACUGGGCGUAAAGGGCGCGCAGGCGGUCUUCCAAGUCGGGCGUGAAAGCCCCGGGCUCAACCUGGGAAUGGCGUUCGAGACUGGGGGACUGGAGGACGGGAGAGGAGAGUGGAAUUCCCAGUGUAGAGGUGAAAUUCGUAGAUAUUGGGAAGAACACCGGUGGCGAAGGCGGCCAACUGGUCCGGAUCUGACGCUGAGGCGCGAAAGCGUGGGGAGCAAACAGG
rnacentral:rRNA from 1 species